AUAUUGCACAAUGGGGGAAACCCUGAUGCAGCAACGCCGCGUGAAGGAAGACGGUUUUCGGAUUGUAAACUUCUAUCAGCAGGGAAGAAAAUGACGGUACCUGACUAAGAAGCCCCGGCUAACUACGUCCCAGCAGCCGCGGUAAUACGUAGGGGGCAAGCGUUAUCCGGAUUUACUGGGUGUAAAGGGAGCGUAGACGGCAUGGCAAGUCUGAAGUGAAAGCCCGGGGCUCAACCCCGGGACUGCUUUGGAAACUGUCAGGCUAGAGUGCUGGAGAGGUAAGUGGAAUUCCUAGUGUAGCGGUGAAAUGCGUAGAUAUUAGGAGGAACACCAGUGGCGAAGGCGGCUUACUGGACAGUGACUGACGUUGAGGCUCGAAAGCGUGGGGAGCAAA
rnacentral:rRNA from 1 species